UACGUAGGGUGCGAGCGUUAAUCGGAAUUACUGGGCGUAAAGCGUGCGCAGGCGGUUCGUUAAGUCAGCUGUGAAAGCCCCGGGCUCAACCUGGGAAUUGCGGUUGAAACUGGCGAACUAGAAUCUGGCAGAGGGGGGUGGAAUUCCACGUGUAGCAGUGAAAUGCGUAGAGAUGUGGAGGAACACCGAUGGCGAAGGCAGCCCCCUGGGUCAACACUGACGCUCAUGCACGAAAGCGUGGGGAGCAAACAGG
rnacentral:rRNA from 1 species